UGCUGUCCUUGCAGGGCAUCACCUGGCGCAGGUGAGUGAGUACCCAGAGACGUUGGGCCUCAGUGGGAUGUCUUCAUAAGAGAAGUCAGUUAGUGUGAUUAGCCAGCACAGCUGAUGGAUAUGACACCACUGGCUUGGAAAUGCUCAUGGCUGGCAGCAGAGUUCAAUGUGUGAGCUGGAGUUCAGCUCCAGAACCCAA
rnacentral:lncRNA from 1 species